GAGAGAGAGAGAGAGAGAGAGAGAGAGAGAGAGAGAUUCUAUAUAUAUAUAUAGAGAGAGAGAUCCAGUACAGAGAUAAAUCUUCUGACCAUCCGGAGAGAGCAUCAGUUUAGCAUCAGCACAGACUCUGGGAGGUGUCUGCUGUCAGACUGAACAGAGCUAUUGAAUGUUUGUGCCUCCUAUAAAGGGAACCACUCUGCAGCUACAGGCACUUCGAAGUACUAGAUCAGGAGAUCACAGAUUAUGUAUUCAGCGAAGGUUAUCGAGCCGCUCAUUAUUCAUGAGCAGUUCUUAUCUGAACACUGGUUCCCAUUGGUGAUUAUUUGCGAUGAUGGAUGGUGGGUGAUUAGAGCUGGGGGCAGUCUGUAGAGUUUGCCUUAGAGCCUGUGUUGUUGUAGCAGUUCAUCUGGUGGUGGUAUGCAGAGAUUCAACAGGACUAGCGUGCAAAGAUAGCACAGUGGGGACUAAUGGCAGAGCUGUAAUGAUCACUGCUCUUUCUGGGGGCAGGCUGAGUGGCCCUUUCCACAAAGGAUGCACACCACCUCAAUGCAAUCCCUUGGAUCUUGCCCAUCUUCCUCAGGAGGAAGAGCAGUAUCUUAUGAAAGCAUCGCUCUUCAUAAACACUUCUUAUCAUGUCUUUUCUUUUUACCUCAUAGCCUUCUCUCCUACAAGCCCUAAUACAUUUGAUGGCUGAUAAGGGCCAAAAGCAGAAGCUAGUUGAGAUAGGAGCCUUGGAAGUGUGAGAAGUGCGACGACAGCUGUUGCCUGAAGACUGCCAGCUGUUGGAACAUAAUCGGGGAGGUCAGUGUACAGCAUCACCUUAAGUUUAUUUAAAUAGGGAUCUAUAUCUAUGGCGAAGACCUACUAUUUUCAGUAGGAGCUGGAGUCAGACGUAAGUGACUUCGGAUGGUGAGCCUUCAGAAGCAGGGUAUUGUCUUGUUCCUGCAGAAUUAUUGGAGCAUGCACAAAGGGUCUGACCCUGCUGACCCCACGUUCUGCACUGUGUCAUACCUUCUCUUUAUCUCACCUCCAUUCUUGAGAUUCUUCCCCAAUCAAUUACUCUCCUUAUCCAGCUGCUACUGUUAAAUCCCUCAUUCCUUUUCCAGAGUAUCAAAGAUCAGGAUUUUGACGCAUUCAGACUCCUUUUCCAAGGUGUUUUCCACUGAUGUAGAAUAAUUAAGGCCAAAGAAGAGAGAUUUAGCACACUGAAGCUGACAUAAUGGAGAACGGAAAGCAGAGCUCUUGUAUUUCUUGUAUACAGUUCCCAGAGACACAAACCUUAUCUAGCUUUCUAACCUCAAUGUUAUUUUUGCUAUACUUUUCUCUUUUAAUCUCCAGUGGCUGCAUUUCAUUCAUCGCUGCAAGCCACUCUAGAAAGCAUAUUGUUUAUCUGCAUGGUAUAUCUAACAAGCUAAGACACAGUGGUUUCAUCUCUGAAUGUUUUUAGCACACUUUGAAUAGGUACAUUACAAUAAGGAACAUAACCAAAGUGCAGUGAGCCCCAAGAGUUAAAUCUAUAGAUCCAGAAAAAAAAACACAACACCCAACAACUUGAAGUUCUUGAAAAAGCCUACAGUACUUUUUAGUCAGACUCCAUAAAUCAGACUGCAAACCAGCAGUUGAAUAUCCAGCAGUAAAUUUUCACUGUCUCCUUAUAACACUGAUGUAUUCCAUACUGCUUCGUAGAAACCUGACUCCUUCUCAUGACAGUUCUAGCUAGGAUGAGUAACUGAAUUUGGACACUGUGAGUACCACCACACUGUACAUCUCCAGAAGAGAAAGCUCCUUGGAACUGAUUUUUCUUUUAAGCCCUCCCUGCCUUUUCUGUUGGGGGUAGUCCACAUGAGCCAACGAGAUAAACAUCCCACAGGCUACAGAGCCAGUGGUCCUUCUCACUUAGCUGAGCCUUUGCAUAGAGAAUUAGGACUGCAUGCAAACAGCAUGCAAUUUCCAGCUCCAAAGGAGCUAUUAUAAUACAAAUGCAUCUCCUGUGAGAUAGAAAAUAAGAUAUAUAAUUGUGACACAGAUGAUCAGGAGAAAAACAGCCUUUUCUUUCAAAUACUGAGUUCUUUCUACAGAAAGAGGCCACAGGUCAACUCAACGAAUCAGUAGUAUUUCACCUGAGUAGUUGAUACAGAAAUUUCUCGAGGCACUCGCUACAUUUUAGAUGCUGCAGACAAUGAACCUCUGAAUACAAUGGAUUACAACAUGAGUAAUAAUAAUAAAAUAAUAAUAAAAUAAUAAUCUAGAGUGAAAACAGGUAAAAUUUUGACUUCAAAUUCUACUUUCUCUGUUCCAAUUGAAUGGGAAAGAGGGGAAAUAACAAUAAAUUAAAACCCAAACUUCAUUUUAAGUCAUAAUACCUGCAUUAGCUUUACUCUUUAUGUCAACUUUUUCACAGAAAAUGUGCUUUUUUUUUUUCAUUGCAGGCAGUUUGCAAUUAUUUCUACACUUCAAACAGUGACAGGACUGGGAGCUGCAAAGCCUUCCCUCUUCUCUGUUGCUAUCAGUUUUUAUGUUACCACCUCUCCUAAAUUCUCAGCACUGCUUUCUGUGUUGGACCUUAUAACUGAAGGCAGUCAAGCUUAACAGGGUCAUUGCUCACAGACACGUGAGCUUGCUUCUGUUCAAGUCUGUGGGGAUGCAUCUGUUUGUAAUAUUGGAUGAUGUGGCCCACAAUAUCUGUUUGCGUAACAAACAGGAAAAGCCAGGUAAUACUAGUAGCUGAGAAUUUCGGCUAGUGUGGCAUUCCGACUUCAUUUAGCUGUUGUAUUUACGGGAUGGAAACAACUCGAAUUGUGCAAUGGAUACCUUAAUCUUGAGUCAGAAAUGGCAAGACAAUUCUCUAAACCAUGCAUUGUACUUUGUAUUUUUCUUCAAGUUUCCACAUCAAACAAAUAUUUCUCAUUCUAAAUUAUGCCUCCUCGCUAGAAAGCUAUCUGCUUCUUUCUGAUUCAAGGCUGGAGAUACAAAUGUUGACCACCUACAGCCCACCCAACAUGAGAACCGCAGGUUGAAUACCAACAGUGCUAUAGAGCCAGCCUGUGACUGAUGUGCUAUCUAUUUCCAGCAUUUAACUGCUCAGUUAGGUCCUUGGAAACAGUAAAACUUUAUGCUUGUUUCUCCAAAGCUGACCAAAUUGCUCUGAGAACUGAAUUAGAAAACAUUUUCUGUCUCUCUGAUUUCACAUUCACCUGGGCUAGAAUGUAGUUGUGUGCAACCCAUCCGAUCAUUCAGGUCAUUGCAUCAGCCACCCAGCCUCUCCCUUAUUUACCACACCUCAAAAAUUCUGUCCCCUGCAGACUUUAUUAGUCCUUAUUUUGCCUCUGGUCCUUUUUUGGCAACAACUCCAUGUAAUAUUAUCAAACAGAAACAAAAGGGAACUGUUGCUUCAGCAUCCACAUUUUGAAAAUGGUGAAUUUUCAUUUGCAGAUUCAGCUCACCUCUAAAUUAGCUUUGACGAGCACCUCAUUACAACCAGUUCAAGUAUGGGGCUGAUUCAGGGAACAGUGAAUUUGGGAGACUGAGUGACUCACACUGACAGGUACUAGGUACUAAAAGUUACCUCAUACUAGUCAUCAUUGUGAGUAAGAAUCAAAGGUGUUCUAGCAGUUUUCAAAAUAUAAAAACCUUUCUAAUUUCUGAAUACAUGAUUUAUGAUUUCAUGUAUUUGUAAAAAAAAAAAAAAAAAGAAAAAAAGAAUUAUCAUAGUUAAAAGUCUGCUUAAGUUCUCUUGCUGCAUAGUAAUGUUAUAGAAUCAUAAACAGUUAAUGCCUUAAGUGUUUAACUAUGAGGACUGAAAAAAUAGGAAACCAAAGGCGACUUCUGCAAAAAUAAAAAAAUAAUAAUGAAAGAAACACUUCAAAGUUAUGUUUGACAAAACACCAUGGGAUUAUAAAGCAUGGACAAAAAUAGCAGAAAUAAAGAUGCUAAUUUAGACUUGAAACAACAUGAUUUCUGUUUUAUCAAAUGACUGAAGAAAAUAGAAAUAAACUCAAAUAUUAUUUUUGAACAUUUCUUUUAAAUUCAAGUUAUUUUGAAGAAAAACUAUUUCACUGGGUUUCACUGGCCCUGUAACUUUUUCUGUUCAAGUCAACCUCCCAACUUUUUCUUUUUUUUCCACAUGGCAAAACAUUGUUUUAGAGUUUACGUAUAUUUUUCCACGUGUCUGUUUCUCACAAUCUCUCUCGUUAAGAGGACACCCUCCAAUUCCAUACUCAUCAACAGUGAGGGAACACCUUCAGUCACUAAAGAUACCAGCCUCCAGAUGGAAGCCUACUUACAAGAAAUUCCUGUCUCGAGAUGCUAGUCAGUGUCACUACAUUUCCCCCACCCACCUCUUGUAGAUGGUCAUUCACCUUUUGGGUCUCUGUUACAAGAUUGCAUCCUUUGAUCAGUAUCAACAAAUAAAAGGAAUCAGUGUGCUCCUGCCCAGGUAUCUGGGUGAGUUCCUUCCAUCUUUUUGGAAAGAAAGAAGGGUACGUUAACGUUUCACUAAACACACAGUUAACUGUUUUUCUGUACUGCAUCUUAGUGGUAUGUAACAAACUUAGCAGUGCCAUGCAGAGGAUGCUGGCUGAAGAAGAAUGAUCAGAGGACAUUUGUUACAAGACAGCAAUAUUCUCAUUUGCCUUAAAAUUCUGUUUCUUAUCAGAAACUGGACCUCCUGCAUUUUACCACAGUACAACAGCAUUUGCCAGAUAUAUCAUGCAAAUAGAUGGGUACAAUAAACAUCUUCCUCUUGUAAAAUUUUAUGUUCCUACCUAAUUCUUCUUGUCUACAACAAGAUACCAGGGAAGUAGUAUUUUUUUCCUUAGAUAUUUUCCUGAGACCAAAUGCAUCUGGACAUGCUCAGUUUGUGGAGCACUGAUAGCAGUGUGACGUGAUAUGUACAUAAGCAACCGACUGAUCUUUUGCUUCCUGGGAGGUGCAGCUGGGGUAGUGCUUCUCUGUGAACAAGAACAUGGACAAGAGAGAAAAGCAAGAAGAAUCAAAAGUCAUCAUUAUAUUUACUAGUUGCAGAACCGAAGAGUUCGAUUUUUGCCUUUUAAUAAGCACAGACAUUGUGCACAGUGACUUUGAAAUCGGUUCUGCUUACUCUCUACCACAGGCACAACAAUAGAACAUGCAGGCUUCUGUGGUUGGAGUGAAUUAGGCUAAAUGUGAACUCACUGAGGCGACAGACUGAAUCCCAGCCAGUUUCCUGCACAACGGGCUUUUCAGAUAUUUUUGUUUGCAUUUAGACUUCUUGUAAUGUGUAACACAUUCAUUUGGAUGUGAGAGAAUGGUCUUGUGGUUUAAGCUCUGGACUCGAAUUCAAAAAAUCUAGGUUGAAUGCUGACUAGUUGUAUGCUUCUGGGUUAGCAAUACCGUCUGUCCAUGUUUUAUUGUCAAGGAACUGUGGCAAAAUCCUGUCUUAACUAUUGGAGUCUAAACUCUGGUGGCCUAUGUGUUUUUUUAUUGUUUGUUUUGCCUUUUUUUUUUUUUUUUUUUGGUCUUUUUGUACAGCUCCUACUUCAAUAGACUCUGGAUCUCUGCUUGCUAAUAAAUAAUAAACAAUUUGCAGACAAGGUUUGAAAAGCACUUCAUCACGGCUGGUGCACACAGGUCUGGGGAUAAGUGUUAUGAAGUUAGUACAGCUGUCAUACCACAGAUUUACAGAACGCUAUUUACAAAAGACAUGGGAAACCAGCAUAUUCAAAUAUGGUUCAAAACUUCCAAGUGGAACCUGGUUUAGCCUUCUGGUCCUGCCAAGCAGGGCUGGAAAGCAGACGAGAACAGUCUUUCAUGAGAUUUUCCUAUUCUGGUCAGGCCAGAAAUUUUGCAAGAGCAGCCUUUCUCAUGGUAUUUUGGCACUUCUGCUUCUGGUCUUGCCUGAAGCCUGGAGGCAGAGCCAUGUGAAAACACUAAUGGAAAAAGCAACUUCUCUCAAUUCAUUUGAUCUUCAGCUACAGCCUGGAAGAUUCGUGUUCUUUCUCAUACUUUAUCUAUGCCUGGCUGUUAUUUGCAGGUCCUAGUGUUUUUUAACUCAUGCCUCCUUCCUUUGCUGUUGUAAACAUGCAGAUUCACUCAGUCUAACCAUUCCUCAUCAAAAUCACAGGAAGAAACUGAAAAUGUACAAUGAAAUCUCAAUCUUAAGAGAUUAAUUUUAAUAAAGGGGGAAAAUGUGCUGUGCAUAGAGCCAACACUGAAACUACCAUAAUACCACCAUCCUCUUUUUCCCAGAAGUUCCCCACUUAAUGGGAAUAACAGAAUGGCUGACUCCAGCAUGGACUUGAUGUAGCCCCUGUAAUCAGUACCAAGACUACAAGCGCCAAUAUCAUGUACACAGUGGAUCUUCAAAACAGAAGUAAUUUUGCAUGGUUUUCCUAUCCAUGUUAUCAUCAAGGGGGUAAAUUCCUUGAGGCAAGGACUCCCUCCCUCUAUGUGUUUCUACAAAGCCUAGCAUGAUAGGUAGCUUCUCACAAAUAGUGAACAAAAAUGUUAGUAGACCUUUCUCCUCUGCAACUUUUACCUUCCAUGUACUGCAGAGAGUCACAGAACACACAAAGGUUUAUAGGAAAGGGUCUCAGACCCUCUUGCCAAGAAGCUUUGCUUCUGCACAGAAGAACAAGGAGUCUUACUGCAUUUUCCCUUUGACAAAUGGGAAGAUCUUUACUAUGGUCAGCAAGCAGAAAAAAAAAAAAACAAAAACAUUAAGUCCCCACUUUCCCUCCCCCAGUUUUUCUUAGGACGCUGUUUGUGAAGACUUCUUAUCUAACCUGCUUGGGGCUAUUUGCAGCAUUACUCUAAAUACAGUGACAUUUGUGCCAGCAUGCCUGCCUGAUUUCUCUCUCACCCCGUCUAUCUGCAACCACUUGUUCACAGCAAUCAUCUGCCAACAAACAAAAGUUGAAGUCUGGGGAAUUUAUAGGAAGAAGCUUUGUGGGCUUUUUCUUUUUUUGUUGUUGUUGUUUUUGGUUUUUGUUUUGUUUUUCCUGGAGUUGGGAGUAGAAGGGGAUAGGAGAUGAAUGGACUGAGCCUUUCAGUCUUUCUUCAGGGUAGCACAGAGCAUUGUCCUCACCUAAUCAUUCUCACCCAAGAACACAUGUAUGCAUAUUAGGACCUCUCGCAUCUGUUCUCGGACUGCAUUCUGGAGACAGGUGAUAGCCAUACUCUGGACCACUGAAAUUUCAUUUAGACUGCAAUUUAUUUCUUGCUUUAACUACAGCUGUUUCUCAGAUGAUAAAAAUAGGCUCCUGUGUUGUUGCUCCUCUGCCUGUUUUGAUUAAAACAAGAUGCAUAGCUAGAUCCUGUUCUGAUCCAUAUGGCCCAGAAGAAGGGAAGGGUGAAACAAAGUUUUCCUUCUAGCAAAAUUCUGGGGAAAUGGAAGAGAAAAUUAACAAGGAACAGAUACUUCCCAAACCUGCAAACCUUUUUAUAGCCUUACCUAGAGUUUGCAAAUUGCAGUGGGCAGAUCACUAUACCGCAGUUGUCUCGGUGCCUCAGUUUGUUAAAUACAUGUUAAUAGAAGAAAGGUACGUGCCAUGACAAAACCAACAGCCCAGGAGGAAGUCAGCAUUAGAUCCUUCCUCGUCGCUGUGACACGCAUGAGAUACCACCGUGUAGUUCUGUUGCCUAUACACCAAGGGAGGAGUUAAGGACAAUAAUCACGUCUGGCAUCAGUGUGGGCAGCAGCUACUGCACAACAGCAAUCACCAUGUCGGGCUUCAGAGGGGCUCACCAGACCUUGAAGAAAUAUCUCUGAGAGACAUCAAAAUGAAGAUUUUGGGUGACCUUUAAUUUCAGUAACGAUGCUGUACUUGGUCUCAAGUAUUUCUAGCUAGUACAGGCCUUACAGAAUAGUACGUAGGCAUCACCACCUUGCGGAGGUGAUUGGAGCGGAGCACGAUGCCGCCAGCAAUCAGAAUUUAGCCAAGAACGUGAGGCCAGCUAUGGAGGAUUAAGUCAUCUUAUGGUUACAUGCCUCAAACUUGACUAGUGACCUAAUCAACAGUUUGUUGUCAUGGAUCAUUAGGUGCUGACUGCGGAAGAAGCACAAGAGAUGACUGUUUUCAGUCACAGGAGUGAGAAUAGCUAUCAAAACACAGCACAUUUAAUUGAAUCAGAUGAAAUAUUUGUGACUGCCAAAGUCUGUACUUGAACUAGAUUACAGCUAACCUUCCACUGAGCUCUGACCAAGUAUGGAUACUUGGCUUUUUCUCAUCUUGUUGCAUGUUUAUAGACCUUUGCUACGCUGAAUUCCAGAGGAACAGGAAGCAGACACGUUGAGUACUACAGGAAAAGUUAUCGUCAAGUUAGCCCAUACAACCAAAGCACAGGUGAUACUAAAAGGUUAAAGGAAUCUUUCAUCUAGAUAUAUCCAAGUCACUUUAGCAGGCCUAGAAAGUUUUUGAUAGGAAUCUGAGGCUGGGAAUGUUUAUCUGAACCUAGCCUUUGAACCUCCACAAAUUCUGCCCAUUAUCAAAUAGGUUUAGAAAAGAGAAAUAAUGUAACCCAGAUUGAAGUGGAGACUACCAGGUUAAUUAUGAGCCCUGGAUGGGCUGAAACAGAUCAAAUUACUUGGAUUACACGGAAAAGAGUUAUAUUAAAUGCCCAGAGCCUUUUGUUAGGGUACACAACAAAAACGGGGUGAGGAAUGAAAAAAACACAUCAAUGCGCACACAAAAAAAGCCAGAGUGUUGAUUCUAUAUCCUACACAUCUUUGUAACUAGUUAUCUUUGAUCAUGAAGCACCUCUUGUCCUUUAGUGCUGAACUUGCAAUACUGAAAAGAGCAGAACAUUUUAUAUUAAAUUAUUUACUUAUGGUCUUUAUGAAAGCAUUUCAUAGUUCAGCUGCCUGGAUUGCUUUCCGUCUUGAUCUGGCACAGCUUUAUCUCACAGCAAAAGGUGCUAAAUCAUCAAGUGUGCUCAGGCACAUCUGUGAUGUCACAUCACAUGCAGGAAUUAUAUAUUUAUUAUGUGAGGUGGUGUGCAUCUGUCCUAGUAGGUCAUUCAUGUCGUUGUCUUGAUCAGUGACACACUUUUUUUCCUUUACAUGUGCACUGUAAAGUUUUGAUUUACUUUGAGAGCACAGACAGCUUUGGCAAGGACUCAGUUUUUAAAGUGAGCAGUUGCACGCACCUAACUGGACAAGUGAGCUGAUCAAAACCAGGAGAUAACAGAGUAUAUUUAUAGGGAGAUACAUUUUUGGAUGCCUGUGGGAAAGGCCAGUUUCCUAGUCAGGGAUGACAUAGGCUGUGCAUGCUUACUACAGCUUUGGAAACAAGUUUUCCUUUUACUAUUUUCUUUACAUUCUCAGUGAAAGCAACUUGCAGAUAAAUCCAUGUUACUCAUGUCAGCUCUAAUGCACUAUUAGGCUUAAUUUUAGUAUUUCUCUGUUGUUGUUGUUCCGAAGUCUCCAGGACAAAUUCUCUCCUGGCUUAGCUCCACUGACUGCAGUGAAGCUGUAUCAGAAUGGAUUUAGCCCUACAGUUUAUCUUUUUUUUUUUUCCUCUUCAGUGCUGCUGUUGUGCUUGGCUAAGUACGUGACCAGCAUAUAAAGACAGCAAGCUUACAUUAGAAACAAGUCACUAGAGAAACCGAGAAAUCUUUCUGAGCUAUCAAAUGUCUUUUCAUGGGGUGUAAAUGACAGCACAGUUCAUUUCCUUUCUUUUCAAUAUCUUCUGGCAGAAGGACAGUGCUAACUGUCGUGUAAACAUCAAGUUUUACAAAAGAUUUCCCAAAAGUAAGUAAAACACUAGCUAGUGUUGCUUAGUUCACUUAUCCCAUUGUUUAUCCACAAACCUGAAAUUCCCAUUAUGGAAUUACAAACAAACAAUUACAAGCACAACUUUCAAACAACCCCAAAAAAGGCUCUUUUCAGGCAACAUAAUCUGUUUCAACAUACCCAUGUUCCACAUUAAUGGUUCAGCUGGUAAAACAGCUUCCUGAGUUUGUUGCUGAUCUGCUGUGCAGCAGACCCCUGGCAACUCUGCCAGAGAAUGCCUCCUAGGCCAUCUAGGAUAGGGCGUUCAACCACUAAUGCAGGAUUUUCCCUCUCAUGAUGUCCUGUUUUCAAUGACUCUGCCAUGAAGCCUCCGUGCUCAACACCGAGGUCAACUCCACAGUCUAAUUACUCGUUUGCCUCUCUUACUUUUCUUUUUAAGGUUGAAAGAGAAAUGCUUUUGUAGCCAUAAGGCACAGCAACCACCAGGAAGAGAUGGAAAAGUUUUUCAUAGAGAGAAAUCUUUCUGAGUAUAGAAGUAUAGAGCCCUUUAAUGCUGCAAGAUCUACAUUCAAGGGGGAAAAAAAGGAAAGAAAACUGUAUAAUCACUGGUUACUAAAACAGCAUGGAGUAUCUCAUCAGGCAGGCUAGUAACAAAUCAGGUUAGCCUCCCAGAAGCACGUAUGCGGAUAUCUGUCUACCAAAUUAUUUAAAAAACACAGUGGAGGAGAAGAAACAUUUCCAUGGUUUUGGACACAUCGUGAAUUUGAUAGAGAGCAUUGCUCUGUUCGCACAGAAAGAUCUGAACAUGACCAAGAUGGGAGCACCAGGAGAGCAAUGCUCUUCCUCAUGUGGUGCGCCAUGCUGGUGAGCUCCUUCCUGAAGAUGCUGCAGUGACAAAACAGCGGCUUACAGCUAGACGUUUGCUAAGCAGAGCUCUUGGAGAACAUUACCACGACUAUCUUCAAUGCUCUUGGUAGUCCUGAAUUAACAGUUCCUUUUUUGUUGCCACAUAGACCAAAAUCUCACCCAAUUCUCACUUGGAGAUCAUUUUCCCAAGUUUGUCUUGUUACUUUAAAAACAUACUUUUUUCUUGUAUCUUGAUCUUUAUUAACACAGGCAGAAAAGAAAUCCUGAGAGUUCAACAACAGAUCUUGCAAUAAAUCUCUUCAUCAAACUGUAUUCCCAUGCUCUGCAAGCCUAAUCGCCAGCAUUUUGGAAACUCAGUGCAGCACUCUCAGGCCAGCUCAUCCAGUAAGGCAUUCUGCUUUGAUGACCCUGGGGAGCUACUGCUUGUUUUUAAAUGUCAUCUACCACGUUCUCAAAUUAGUCAUCAAUAAUUUAUAUUCCUAGCUGCAAAAACACCUUUUUCCACAACACUUCAUUGCCAGUGUUUUUUAUCAUUUGCUGGAUUCUUAGCUUGAAAGAAGAAAACCAAACCUAAUGUUUUACUGACACUUGUGGAGCUCUCCCACCCUGCUGGGGAAGCCUAAAUACAAGCAGAUUGGAGCAGAACAGGAACAAAGAAGCUGUGCUAGAGGAGCUUGCUCUAAAAACACAGCUGAGCAUGCCGAGCUCCAAACGCACCGGAGACGCAGACAAUAACAAAAAGCGAGGAUGGAAGCUCUUGCUGUGAAACCUCUUGUCCCCGUGCGUCUCUAUGAACACACUCAGCCCAGAAGGGUUUCGGCGAAGGCCAGCGCACGGCUCAGAGGCACAGCCAGGGCAUGCAGCUGGGCAUAAAGCCUUUUGUGUUCGCAAGGGCCAGGCUCCUGCCCAGGGAGCCAUGUCUGCUUGCUCACCCAGGCUGGGGUGCUGCCUGCUGUGCCUCACUGGGGCCCCUGCCUCUAUGGGCAUUUCUCGGUACAGCCAGUGUAAGCAUUUUUUAACUAUUACUUACAAAAUGGCAGCAGCUUCCCCAAGGCCAUAUCUUUGUUUCUCCGUACAAUGCCGUGAUUGUGUAAAUUGUCUUGCAUAAGCACAUCAACCCACUCUGGAAUUCAUUUUUCCCCCCUUACGGCCUUUCAUUGUUGUUCUUUUAUGGUGGGAUUUGUUCUUUUGCCAUCUUGUCACAAUUCCGCUCCUGUGGCUAUGGCACUUUUAAGGAACAGCAUGGUUAAGCCUGGCCUUGCAACUUGCCAGAGGUCCGGGGAGUGGCUACUUCUGAGGGCACUGCUGCUGCCAACCCGGGCUGGCUGGUUGCAUUGUCACACAAGGCAGUAGAGCUCCCAAAAACAUCAAGCCCAUAGUAGCUACUUGGAAGUCUUACGUCCUAGUCCCUUCCUGCAUAUAGCUCCAUGUACUGUCUCCUAAAUCUAGUAACAUGACUCGUGACACUGGAAAGCUGAGGAGUGAGAGAAAACUUCCCUCCUAGCGUGACCGGGCAAAGCAAGCCCGUAAGUUACGAAUGCAGAGAACCAAGCCAGCAACACACCAGUGACCGUGAGACUAACAGAAUUUGGGAGUAACUGAGGACGUGUACAACACUCAGUUUAAGGGGCUACCUGGCUGCCAUUAAUCCACAGCACCUCAUUCUUCAGUACUGUGUAGCCACGUCUUUUUUCGGCCUGUCUGCAGAACGAACCACAAGUGAAACCAGACUCUGAGAGGAACUUACAAUUCGGUCUUUGAUGCCUAGACAGUGGCUUGGCUCUCCGGAGCUUCUUCAUUUCUACCUGUCCCUACCUUAGCUGCAUAUCCUCCUUUAAGGACUCUCCUAGUAGCAUACGAGCUCUGUCUCUGGAUUCCUACAUGCAAAGAUCCAUUCCUGGGGAACAUAUCAGUAAAGACAGGUAUUGUUGAUCUGCCAGCAAGGAUGUAACCUAGAUCUCUGUAUUGCAAAUGCUUUGAUUAAUCUUAAAAAAGAAGACCCACAGAGGUUAAUUCUUACCGCACAAAGGUAGCCUUGUACUCCACUGAAUGACCAGUAAGGAAUCAUCUCAAGCCUGUCUGAAGGCAAUGGAAAGUCCAUUGCCUCUCUGCAAGCUUUGAAAUGAGCCUGGAGGGGGAUCAGCCAUACUGAACAGAUAUAAUUUUUACGUAGAUAUUCUUCAUAAUACAAUCAGUCUUUAAUGGAUAGCAUUUCAAGAGUAAAAAUACUGUAUGUAAAUACUCUAAGCUACAUAAACAAAAUAAUUUUCUCCUAUUAAUCAUGUUUGCUGUUGUAAAUCUCUGUUUAGCCACAUUAAAAAAGAAUUAUAUCCUCAAGGCUUGAAUGCUAUAAAAGUUCAGAUCAGACAUCACAGACAAACCACAGAGCUUAGUGGAAGGAAUUGUUUUCUUAUAAGGAAAAGUGCAUUACCUUCAGUUCUUGCAAAUUUAGAGUUUGCCUCUUGAUGUUAAGCUACAUGAUGUUAUCUAACAACUAUACUAGCAGGAUGAUACUAGAUGAACAUAGGGUUAUGCUGUAGUCGAGGAAUUAAGCAACUCAAUGUGAGUUAAAAGUAAUUUCCUUGUCUUGGUGCAACUUUGAUGUCACUUCUCAGUCUGACACAACAAUUAGGAUAAGGCCCAAACACUGCAAACACAGUGGAAGUUGCCUUUAUAAUGCUUACAGUCCAGGUCUGCCUAGCGGCCUGUUUCCUUCCACAAAUGUACAGAAAACUGCUUGCAUUCAUUUCUGAUGAGCUGAAAGAGCAGAAAUCUGCAUUUCAUAAAAAUACUUAUAGAAAGCUGCUGGCAUCGGUGAUUCAGAAUAAAAUACCCUUUCACCAGCACAGUGGAGAACUGUACCAGCUUUUUCUCUUGACAUGUGUCAGCCUCAUUGCUUGGGUAUUAAUAUCAGAACUAAAUGGUUUCAAUUCAGAAUUGGAUCUGAAGCCUCAGCUGAGGACAUGUUUUACUGAAUAAGGCAUCAUUAAUGAACCCUGGCAUAUGCUUCUGAGGCUAUGUUUGGCACAGCCAUACGUGAGACUUGACUUCAGUCCUCAGCUAAAAUGCUUCAUGUUGUUUGCUGCCAUUAAUAUUAUUCAUGUUCAUAUUGUUUGUGUGUCCCAACACACCCGCUCAUUGCGUUUCAAAGAAAACUGAAGGGAGAACUACCAUGCUAGUUGCUAGAUAAAACCGGCAAGGGCCUGCCUUUACUCUUUCCUGGUGUGGUUCCCCUGCUAGUACCAGUGCAUGUUCUCAUCAAGGCUGGGCUUUUCUGCUGACAGUAACAAGAGGGGUGUGCUGGUUAAAGAUGUUCAGGGUCAUUUUUAUUUCUCCGCAUUUUUUUUCUGAAGCUUGGCUUAGCAAACAAGAGAAAGAUUUCUAUCAUGUUAGAAAAGGAAUAUUCUACCUUGGUUUCAGCUACAGUAAAAAUUGUUGUCUGUACUGUUCAUCUUGAUCCAAACAAGUGAUGGUGGGAACAAUGCAGCUGCAGAACCAAAAUACAGAGGAAGUGGUAGAUUAAUCCCUGCUUUUUCUUUUCUUUUUGAGAAAACGUGGAACACACCUAUUUAGCAUGAGUAAAUCUCAAUAGAGCACGUUCAGAUGGACCAACUUUCCUACUUCAAAGAUCAAGCAUAUGUCAAGAGAGUCAGAAAUAAAAGAUCACCAGAAAGGUACAAGUUGACAUCUGCAUGCAGAUCAUUGCACAAGGGACAAUUAGACCCUGGGUCUCUAAUUAUACUAAUUUUCAGUGUACUAAAAACAAUGAAAUAAAUAGAUGUACAGCUUUAUUACGCAGCAGUAGUUUCCUCCCUGCCAGCCCAGGGGCGUCACACAGAGCUGGCACAGCCAGAAGCCAGUGGUUGGUAUUGGUUAGCAAUUAGCUAAGUCAUACAUGGAUGAAGAUUGCUUAGAGUCCCCUGCUCCUUUCACAAGUUUCAUUCAGUAACCUUCAUACCAGCUUUUCUCCAGCAUCUGCGUCAGCAAAACUAACAGAGCGAAGAGGAGCUCGGCGCUGGACUAAAGGAGACUCCAAUUGUCCUGAGAACUUUUCCCAAAGACAAAUCUUUGCCUGGCCAGAGUGCAAAGAGGGCUAUGGGAAAAAUAUAUAUAGCACACAGGAGGCCAGAAGACCUGGCAUGUAGCAGUGUCCUACAGUCUAUUGCUGCCAUGACUUGGAGAACUGCCUGCUUAGAGGGGCUAAUGAGGUCACUUCGAGAUCAUGGGCUAAAAGCUUUUUUCCAUCUUUCUCCUCCUGAGCAUAGACUUCCUUCCAAUAACAUUUCAUCUUCCCAAAGAAACAGUCAGAACCUCCAGGUUUGAAGGAAUAUAUCAUACAGAAGGUCUACAGCCCAAACAGAAAAUGAAGAAUGAGUUUUUUUUAUUUAUUUUUAUUUUUAAAGAAAUUAACCUGAUACCAACAAACCUUUAAUUAUUAGCUUGGGAUCACAAAGCCCAAAAUGCAUGGUAGGGUUCCACCAUGGCACAAGGCUUUCUGCCUGAGAACCAAAGCACAAACCUUCCUCACAGAGGCGCAGUGGCACGCAAAGGAGUAAGGUGCACUCUGCAAAGCCAGUGCCUCCAGUCCCAGGCAGGCAGCCCUUCCAGGCCUAUUCCCUGACCGCAGAGUUUUUGCCCCAGGAUGUUUUCUCCAUCUGCACACUGCAGUAUGAAAGCAUUACUUGGGAUGAAUAUCACAGAAGCUUCUGUUCUUUGAAAAUCACAUCUGAUAUCUGCCUACUGGCAAAACGCAUCAAAUGCCGGCAGGGGAGAGGGGGAACACAAAGCGGAGGAUGCGAGCAUGCACUGAGCUCAAUAGCAGAACUCUUCUUGUUGUUGUUGGCCUGGCUAUUGUGGCUUUAAAUUACAAAUUACUUUAAAUUGUAAAAACAUUGAUAGCGAGCCCUCGAGAAGGAUCCCCAGAAUGGCAGUAAAUAAAGAGCAUCCUUUCCCUUUUCAGACCACGAUAACGUGGGAGGUGAUACUAAACCCUUGGCAAGCACUGCAGACCUCAGAGCUAAUGAGUUGAAAGGAUGUGCAUAUACACAGGGACCCGAACAAAGGCCUUCUAGUACACAGAAAAAUCACUGCAGUAAUUACCUUCGAGGUUGGGCAGUGCAACACAUUUGUUCUUCUAACUUUGGAGUUGUCCUCCAGCAUUUUUACAAAGGAUCCUGUUACCCUGGAGCUGGCAGGUGGCUUUGCACGGAUCCUGGGGGCUCGCUUCCCUGGGAAAGCUAAGCUAGCUCACAAAGUGCUUCCUUGUCAGACCCCUUGCCACUCUGAAAAGAGGACAGAUCUCUCUUUCUGCUUUGUCCCAUGUCUGGACCAGCGGCCGGGAGUCCCACCUGCUCCUGCAGCUCACAUCCCCUGAAACCAGAGCCCACCCAGCAGCUGCACAAACCAUCGGGGCAGGCCUGCAGCGGGGCGUCGAGCAGUUGCCAGCGCAUGGCCGCGGUGCUCCCUUCUCCUGCCUCCGCCUCCGCCGUCCCCGAAAGUAAACACCGGCAGCCCCCGCGGUGAACUCGAUUGCGAAACCGCAUGGCACUGAACUUUAUCUCUGCGCCGAGCAGGCUGCACAAAGGAGAGCGGCUCUGGUCGGGAUUUUUCUGCUGCCAGCGAGAGAAUUCUUUCCAUAGCUCGUGUGUCCUCACUAGAAAAGGAAGCGUGCUUUCAAACACGCAGAUGAACGUGAUGUUGUAAGGCAGCUCGUUACCUCGCUUAGGCAGGGCCAACUCAGGUCUAAAAAUGCACAUUUACAUGCAGUUGGCUCCAUCAACAUUUAUCCCGUUUCCAACAGUACAACUCCAGUUAUCUUUUACUCCCCCCCUUGAAGCUCUCAAUGUAAAAAAGCAAAAAAAAUGUUUUAAAAAAGGCAAGCCAGUCAAGUUGCAAAGCUCAUUUUCCGAUCACAGCAACUUCCUUGUGACCAGAUAAUGUGAACGCGUUUUGGUUCAAGCCUAAUUAUAACAGCAUGCAGACACUGAUGCAGCUUUUUUCAAGCUGGUAUUUCCAAACUGGCAAAAGCUACCACAUCAAAAAUGAGGAAACCACUCCCUUGGUGAAGAGAUGAUGGUACAUUCAAAAAAUCAGGGGAAAAAAGUCCUCAAAAAGCCAACAAAUUCACUGAAGCUAUCCAUACACUGAACUGGUGGUCCAUGGAUGUGAGCAGUAAUGCUCUACAGAUGCCUUGCAAUCCAAGUCAAGUUGAAAGGAAUUCUUAGUCUCACCCACACAAGAGAUCCUGGGUUAAAGCCAGCUCCAGAAAACAGCGCUCCACAAUGCUUCUCCCAUGUAACAGAGACCUCUUUUGGUUCCCUCUUUGAUUAUGAUGAUUCUAGCAGCCAGAUAAAGGAUCAGGAUCCAGUUCCUCAUGCUGAGAGCAAGUUUAUCCUUCCCCCUUGCUUUCCUAACGAUAUUUUGGUUUGAGUCAUUUACUCAGUGCCAUGACCUGAAGGAAGGACACUGUCUUGAAAAUUUUUAAAGCCAUCUGCAAGCAUUGAACAUCCACUCAACCUAUUUAUACACGUUCUCGUGGAAUAGGAACAACAGCCCCCACCUUAGUUUAAAUUUUCUAUCUCAUGUGUCUCAAUAUUUACAGGCUAAACCACUGUUUCAGUUGAAACUGAACUUUCAGGACAGAUUUGGGCUUUACUACUUGUGCCUUUCCUUCCUCAUCUGUCUGGAGAUAUAGAUACCUGUCUGCGCAUUGCCAGGCUCUGAGAAGGAAAACUAAUGUACGUGUGUCAAGGGGAAGAACCUGAGCGGAAGAAGAAGACUCUUACUGCAUUUAGGCCACAAAAAUUAUUAAAAACAGGAGAAGAACCAGCUUCAGGAGGGUGGGUAGCUUACAGAGCUAACCCCUGGUCGAAGCACACACUAAAUCUCGCUGUAGCUUACAAGGUCUCAGAUUUCAGAGCCUUGGAAGAUUAGCAGGCUAAGCAGUGGUGAGCUGUGCUGUUCACAGCAUGUUCUUUGGGCCCUCAGGAGAGGAAUCACAGUUUAGUUUUGUUUUUAUAGCAGAUUUCUAGCCUUUUUCCAUUGCUUUGAAAGUAAAAGUAUGUAAAAGUAUAGCGAAGGUAAAUUCAACAGGGCUUUUUUUUUUUUUUUUUUUUUGUAGCAGGAGGGAAACGGGAGCCGGUGCACAACCCACCAUGGGUGCACACAGACACGUAAAAUGGCUGAAUGAAAUCUGAGGUGACUCACUAUUUCAGCGUAUUUUGUAGGCCAUGUUCCAAAAUGCCAGCUGUUACGUCUGUAACCCUCCUGUAGCUGCAAGCAAGCCAGUUGCUGCUAACUGCUUGAAAUUUCUGCCGCUGCCUUCACACCAGCGUUCGUCUACCUCUGUGCAUCUUUGCUCUCUCUCAUUUCCUCUUCCGGGGAUCAUUUCACUAGUAGGGAUGGGGAGGCAUUGGAUACCCCAGGUCUUUCCACUUCCCUAAAAUCUAGAAGCUUCCCAGGAACAUCUGCUCCUGCCUCCAUAAGCUUUCCUACCACUUCCAGAGAGACUGCUUAAUCCCCUCCCCAUCACCUAAGGAGAGAAGAGAAAGCAAAACAGAUUUCCUCUCUUUCUUCCCACAGCAUGAAACAAGCACUAACUGGGUCGGAUAAUUUUUCAGGUCUCCCUUGUGCAAAGAUACCUAACCGAAUCGUCCUUAGCAGCUGUGCAGCCCUGACUUAUGUCAGUGGGGUGGCUGGCAUCUUGGGCUAGAAAUGCAUCUUCACAUGAAUAUUUUUUUUCUCUGUCUCCAUUAUGUAUCUUCUCUCAGUUAGAAAUAUUCCAGCUGAAUAUAGAUUUGUUGGAUGUAUUCCAACAGAACUCACUGCUCCUGCAGCCAAGUUAAAAACCUGGUUCGUACAGGACUGUGUGCUUCCAAUGCAUGGUUUUCCCCAGAUUCUAAUGUACCGGUUAAAAAUCAGAUCACCCCUUUCUGCAACAGAAUCUGAUGCUGGAGGUUACAGCAAAUUCUAGCAAGUGGACAGAAUUUUUCCUCCCUAAUUUUGUUUUCCUCGGGGAGUUGUGGUUUCCACGUAAACACUUCCAUGAGCACCCCCUUUGAGACACGCCUGGAAGAAAGUAUGUUCUGCCUCAUGCAUAUCCACCAUAUCUUAGCAGCUAAGAAAAAUAGCUCUGUGGUCUCACUGCACUUCACCACAAUCACCUCAGCCCGGCCGAGCUGCAAGUUACUGAACAGAACAAAGCAGAAUAGGCAUGCUGAGAGAAAGCCAUGGCUGGUACCUUCACUGCUGCGUCUGGACUUGGCCUGUCUUCUGUGCUACAUUCCUAGCUUCAGAAAACAGUGUUGGUAACCCACAAAAUACGGUAAAUAAGGACAGGGAUAACAUAACCUAAUUUUCAUUCACUACUCAUUGUAGCGUGGAGCAGCAAGAGGCACCAGGCUGUGACAUUGAAGUACAGCCCAUUUCAGGCAAUUUGCUCUAAAAUCUAGAUCAUCAUUUCAAAAUAGUCAAAGGACUUUGUUCCUCACUAUUCUUCUGUAGUGUCUGAAGUACACUGCUUUACCAUAGAAGAUCCCUUUUGAUGUCCACGCACCUCCCCAUAAGCCAAGAGCAAUAUAGUUAGGCCCUUGGAGGACAAGAGGAAAAAUGUAAAUGUAACUUAUUCUUGGAAAUAAGUUGGAUCUCCAGCUCCAGACCAGAAAAUCUUUGAACCUGCCUGAGCAAGCCGUUCAGUUUGUGAGCCCAGCCAAUCUCUGGAUUUGCUGUUAUAAAAGGGACAGAAUCCAAACCAUGGACCUGGAUGCUCAUAAGCUCUCAGGCAUUCAGUAUUUCUGGAUUCUUUUUUUUUAUUUCAUUUUUUCAAUUUUACCCUGAGCCCACUGCUAAUUUUUCAUGGAAGACAUCUCUGAACCUUUUGGGUUGGGGUUUUUCCUCACAUGCACUCAUGUAUGUCAGCAUCCUAUUAAUCUUAUCAAGUAACUAAAUAAAUAUUACAUAAUACUUAAUAAGCAAAGCCUUGAAUAAUGAGUUUGGAGCAGAGCACCCAGAGACUUCUUCCACAACUUCCAAAUGCAGGCUCAAGAAGAAAGGCAGUCCUGGGAUUUACAAUGACAGGAUGUUUGUCUUUAAGGUGUGCACCUCCAGUAAGCAGGUUCUGAAUUCAUCUUGUGCAUAAUCAUUGACGUUCUUCCCUUUGAGCAAAAUAAUCAUUCUCGAUCCCAGUGGAACAAAGGGAGAGGCAGACCAAGCAGAAGAGUAUGUGUGGAAAAGCUUGCAGUGUGGUCACUUGGUGACACAGGGACUGCGGAACAGAAACCGAAGCUUAGCGUGAGCUGCCCAACAGGACAGGGGACAGAAAAGCUUUGCAUCCAAGGGGUGAAAUUCCAGAGGAGUUGGGUUCUUGUUUGUUUUCUUUUCUUCAAGCUAAACAGCUGGCUGGGAAAGUCUGCUUUCCCAGGGAAACCUAAGCCCUGAUGUAGGUAAAAUGGCCUUUGCUUUCUCCUGUUGGUCUCUGCUUUGUGGCUUUCUGGAAACACAUUUCUGAGCAAUUGAACGAAAUUUUAUUUUGGUCUAGAAAAUAAUUGAAUAAACCAAAACACAGAUAUUGGUGUCUGGCAGGAAAAUGUUACGUGAAAGAAUAGUCUGAGGUUGUGCUGGUUAACUGCACAGAGCAGAAUUUCCAAAGGAAAAUUUGCUUACAGACAUUUGUAAUUUUGGUAACAAGGUACUUUGUGGCCCUUUUUUUUUUUUUUCCUUAGACAACAGGACUGAAAAACAGAUCCUCAUCCAAAUCCUGUAGCUCUUAGUUCUUAGACAACUGAGCACUCCUCAUUCCCCUCAGAGCCUCCAGGGGAUGCUGGGUCUCAGAAGGGUGCUACCUGGAAUAAACUUCUUGCACUUUGCUAAAAUGGCCAGAGGAACCUUAUGGAAGCGGGGGGGCACUCAGGUCCCACUGUUUCUCAUCACAACAGACAUCUUGCUUUCAGCUUGCAAUUUCCCUGGUUUAUAGGCAUGCUACAUCUGUGUUUUAUUCCCUGUGUUCAAGCAAUACAACUCCCAUUUCUUGCACUGCCUUAAUAUUUAUUAGGGAGCAAAAUGGUACGUGUGCUUUUGCAGUUGCUGCUGAUUUUAUAUCUGAACCUUGUAGUUCCAGAGACUAUUACAAUAAUCUACCGAGCUUUAAAGAAGUAGGGUAGAUUGGGAUGUUAACACACCAAUUGGCCCCUUAUCAGUAAUCUAGGUCUUUUCUCUAGAUGCAUAUCAGUAAAGACCUAGCUAAACAGCCAUAAACUUCUACUUUCAAGCAGUGCAUGCAUCCUGCUGUGUAACAACCCUUUUGAUACUAAAGAUAUUUCCUGUCAUGUUUUCUCCACUGCCAAGCAUUGAUUGUUGACAUAAGUGUUUCAUUUAAUAAAUAUUACCAGUGUGUACGAGCGUGAGGGGAUGAUUCAGCAGUGUCAGGGGCCACGUGGCAGCAGUCCUAACAGGAAGACAAAAGUGAUUGCCUCAGAGCAAAUAAAUCAGGCCCCAAGUCUAGAAGACUUAGAGAAACAUCAUUUUUGCACUACACUGCCCUGCCUUGGGGUAGCGUUAAUAAUGACAACGUAUCCAUAGGAACCAAUUUGUCAGGACAGGCAUUUGCAAGUCUGCCUUUUAACUGGAGACAUACAAUGCCUGAAACCCAGAAUAAGCCCAGAGCCGGGAGACCUAGGGUCUUCCCCCCAACCCUGCCCAGCUGGGUGACAUGAGGCACACCUUUUUUCCUCCAUCCAUGCUUCAACUUCUCCUGCGUAAAAAGGGCAUCAUGACAGUAACCUCUGUAAAGCAGCCUCCUGGUCUGUGUAACUUCAUUAAAACAAGACUCAUCAAAAAGACUUCUCCAUCUGCUGUCCUAUCAGCCAUACCUUUUCAAAGCCUUUCUUUAUAAUUAAAAUUUAGGAAACUUAACAAAUGUGGCAACUAGAGCUCAAUAAUUUCCUGGACAGCCAGUUAAACACAUGGAGCAUGUGACCAGAAACUCAUAGCCAGUCUUGGGGGAACUCACUGAGCUAUUUCUUUCUUUUUUGAUGUAGAGAAUUGAUAACAGACUCCCACAGUUAAGUCCAUGAAAUCUGGUCAUCCUUGAACUGCUAUACCAAAAAAGAUUAGCUUUUUAUAGCAAAAAUGCUGCAGGUGGAAAUGCCAAACUACACAAACAGAAGCAUACGCUACUGUUCCUUACUUCGGUUCCUGAGUAUUUUUAAUUCAGCUGUUUGGUUGUGACAGCGUUUUUUUUUAAUGAACAAAAUUUCUGUAAAGAAUUACGAUAUAAUGGAGAAAGCAAAGUUUUGCAGAUGAAGAUAAAUGCUGAGGCUUUCUCAUUCAGGAGGACCACAUGCUCAAAAAAAUGAUUGCAUCUGCGUCCUUGUGGUUAUUUACAAAUGAAAAAGCAUUCAGUAAGAGGAGCGAGCGUUCCCAAGCUUCCCUAAUGUUUAAAACCCAAAUGUUUAGAAGCUUGUUUGUCAGCAACAUAUCAAUUUGUGGUCUUUCAAAUUCACAAAAGGUAAGUUUACCACGUUACUACUGGAUGAAUUCCAUACAACCUUAAUAUGAGGCUGAUUGAAAAAUUAAAUGGUAUUUUAACUAUUAGACAUCUGUGAAAAUCUAGUGUAAAUCACAACUCCUGUCUGCUCUGUGUCUUUUUUUUCCUAAUAGGCCAGGUUAGAAUUACUAGUAGUUUUUGUAACUUGUGUUGAAUAAUUAAGUAGUGUUGUUAUACUAUUAAAUACUGUGCAAAGUGCCCUUUUGUUACCUGAAGCAGACAGGGCUGACCCCACUGCAGACCCCAAAUCUUUGAACUUUAAAAUCUGUUGGGACUGGGAAUGCGGUGUGAGGAAAUAUCAGAGCCAAGUGAGACCUGUAGGAUUACUGUGUGCUCUUGCUGGAUGAAAAUUCUGUUUUUAAAUUGACUUUGAAAUAAAUAUUUAGCUAUAGGCCUUUGAGAGCCCCGGUUUGUUUGGGUUUAUGUUCUACACCAGCACGUCACAGUAUUUGGUAAUUCACAUCCCUUGGGGUGGCUUCCUACUUAGAGCUUUACACAAAGAAUGCAUUUUCAGGCUAGAUUUCCAGUAAAUAACCCUGCAGUUCCAGGAGAUGGACUAAAAUAGCAGCAUGCCUGCAGCUCAAUGCCACUUAUAGUUAAGUUCAGAUCCCUCUCUAUUAUUCUGAUGACAUCCUCUUCUGUCCCUCCCCCAACACUAGCAUCUUUGUCAGUGCCCUCUUCCUAGAGGCAUCUUAGUUCUCACUAAGUCCUCCACAGCCCUAUCUUUGUGAGCAGCCAUACUCUUACGGCACCCUGCACCAUGGUGCUGGAUACUUUCUUCCAGCCCCACCCAUCAUCAUCAUCUUCCACAACCCGUUUCACAGCUGCAGUGUGAGUUCUGCCAACGCUGCCAAAAACCCAUCAAUGCCCAGCACCUUUUCUCAGACCGCUUAAGCACAGAGAAGAACAACCUCAAAAAAUAGAACACUCCUAGUCAAGGGCAGGGACUGCCCACAUGCUUCAAGAAGUAUUCAAAAAAUUCAUUAGUGGAUACAGAAUCUUAAAAUAAUGUGGCAAAGAUAAGUUUUAUGAGCUGUAGUUGCCACAUGUCCUGAGGUAUAAUGGUUUUUAUUAAUUGCAGAGGAGUUUUUACCAUGCCUGAUUCAUUGUUCUCACUCUUUUCUAUAAACUCCUGCUUGGUUCUUGGUCUCAGCAAGUGCCAAAGAUUGGAACAAUACAUUGUAUAAGGCAUAUUUCUUUUAAAUCUCUUCAGGACAUUAUUUUCUAAUUUAAUUUAAUGCCUUCUUAUGUGAAAAAGAGCUAGGAGAACUUCCAGUUAACUUACUCUGCACUUCUGUCAUGUACUUAUUCACUCACUGUGUCUGAACAGUCCCAGUAUUUAUUUAGCCUUCCCAAAAGUCUUCUCAAUCUCUACUCUUUAUUGCUAUCUGUCUGGAAAUUGCUUUAAUCUCUCCCAUAACAUUUUUGGGAAAGAGUGGAAUUCAAGCUGUGAUUAAUGGGAGAAUGGGAAUGGAAAACAAGGUGAUAAGACUGGAAGAAGGUCUGACAUACAUGAUCUAACAUCAGGUAUUAACCUCAGUAUAGUUUAGAAUGGCUAAAUGAAACAAAACCAGCAAAUGAUUCUUGAUUUUGUAAUGCCAAAUGGCUCACUAGUUUUUCAGUCAGGAAAAUGCAACUCCUAGGAUAAUUCAGGUUGGAAGGGAACUCGAGAGAUUUCUAGUCCAAACUCCUGUUCAAAGCAGGGUCAGCUGUGAGAUUAGAUUGCAUUACCCAAGGCUUUGUCCCAUCCCAGAAAGCUCCAAGAAGGGAGGCUGCGUGACCUUUCUGGCAGCCUUGCUUUCACUGCUUGACUCUCAUGGUGAAAAUGUUUUUCCAUAUGUAUGCCCUGCACCUUGAUAGCUUCGGGUUCUGCCCAGUGUGUAUGCCCUGAUGAAGAAGCACGGCUCCACCAGCCUCUCCUCACACCCCAGAGUGCUGGCUUGGCUGCCAGGGUGCGUUUCUCACCUGGGUCCCUCUGCUGCCCAUCAGGGUCUCCAGGGCCAUCCUGCAGCAGUCAGGACCCAGCCUGUCCUGCUGGCUUGGGCUCUUCAUCCCCGGGCAGGACAUCACGUUAUUCCUUGCUGAGGUUCGUGCAAUCUCCAUCUGCCCAUUCCUCCAGCCUGCCUCGGUCUGUGUGACCGGGAGCCCUGCCCUCGAGCAGAUGGACUGCUCCCCCCGGCUUAGUGUCACCCACAGCCUGAUGAGCAAGCCCUCCAUCACCUCGUCCACAUCAGUGGUGAAGAAGCUGGACAGGAUGGGUGCAAGGACAGGCCCAUGUGCUAUCCCACACAUUACUGCCAUCUGGGUAGCGUACGACCCGCAAACCACUACCCCUCAGGCCCAGUCACCCAACCAGAUUUUUUCCAACCACAUCAGCCAGACCAUAACAUCCUAACUCAGCUACCAGAGUGCUGUGGGAGAUAUUAUCAACAACCUUAAGUCGAAGUGAAUGACAUCCACAGUUCUCCUCUCAUCCAUAAAACCAGUUAUUUUAUCGUGGAAGGCAAUCAGGUAUGAUUAACCCUCAGGAAAUCCAUGCUGAAUGCUCCCAGUCACCUCCUUCAAGUACCCAGAAGUGGUUUCCAGGAAGACUUGCCCCAUGAUUUUUCCAGGGACCACAGCAAGGUUGACCAGCUUUUUUCCUAGACCAAUCUCCUGGCCUUAUCACACAACUGAGAGGAAAUCUGUGCUGAACAGCCCAAACAUUUCUGAAUCCGAGGAGCUGUUAAUCACAUUUGAUUAGCUUGUAAACGAACUCUUCCAAAGUUGCCAUAUAGCUUUCCAUACAGAUACCAUGCUCAGUUCAGCCCCCCCCAGAGUGCUUUAUUCUCCUUUAUGCCAUCUCAUUCCAGGACAGGGCGCUAACUAGCUGGCUGACACAUCAGGGUGAGUUAGCAAUGUGUUACGGAAAAUGUGAGAAAAACAUCUGAAUGCUGAAGAAAACGUUAUUUUUGAUCUUGUUUUCAUAGUGUUUUCUGUAGUCCCUCAACCACUUGCUUUUCUUCUCUCUCCUCCUUCUUUUCCUUUCAUCCCAGAAUGUUUCUCCUCAUCCCAUCUCUUCCCCUGGACUGCCUUGGCAGCAGGUAUCACUGAGCAGAGGAGAAGCCUCUUUCGCACUUCUGUAUAGUUUACUACUACUCACUUUUCCAGGAAAGUGCUUUCACUUAUCCCAUAUUUCACUCUGCAGAGACACCUUGGCCAGCAUGUGGCACAUUUUCCAGUCACAGAUGUCUCUAUCAGAUUCAUGCCUGGCUCUCGGAGACGUGGUAAAAGGGUUUUUUUGUUGUUGUUGCUGUAUUUGAACUAGUACAAAUGUUCCCAAGCCAAUAUAAAGAAAAUUUAUUUAUUCUCUUUGGCUCGUGCUGGAAGAGCAGGUCCUUCUGACUGCAUGCAUCUGCCUCAGUACAUAUGGGAGGGCUGAUGUUUACUUCCAAAUAAACAAUCAUCAGGCAUGCCAUUAAAGGAAAAUGACUGAAUUGUUAAUACACUCCCUUUCAAACAUGGUUACAGCUCUGGGCUUACACUAAGUGACAAAACAUACAGCUUUUAGGUUGUGAAUUUACAGUCGGAUCCUUGGGCCUAUGAAGAUUUUCCUAUAACUUCAAGGGAAUUUCAAACUGAACUACAGGUCAUGCUGUUUGAAAUGAGUUACAAGACUGGAACCUAAGAUUACUUUUUUUCCCCUAAAAAAGGAAAAAAAAAAACAAAACCACAAACCACCUAGCUGCCUGCUUUUAACUUCUGAGAGAGUGCAGUUGCACUGUAGAAUCUGAGUCAUCUUUAACAACAGCUAUGCACAUUUUCAGAAAUAAGAACACUACGGAUCUAUUGCCAACAGAACAAUAAGAAAACAACCAACAAAACAACCACCUAAACAAACUAUGAAGGCAAGCACCAGAUACAGGGUGAUAUUUCAAACACUCUUUUCUCUGAUCGGAUCUGUUUGUUGAACUGCUCCGUGCUAGCAGUGGGCUGUUCUCAUGCAGGAAGGAGAGAGCAGCAGCAGGUCACUACGCAGUAACUCAGUUUGCUUCAAUGCAACCAGCCAGCAUUUGCAAACCACUUUGAAAAUGGCUAAAUCCUUGGAAAAAAGGAAUCACUUGGUCUGACCAAAUGAACAUCCCAUAAUCUUUUACUUUUGUUCCCUUCUUUGACUUUCCUUUUUUUCCACCAUUACAAUAUAGUGAAAAAAGGUGCCAGGAGAGGAGGGAGAGAAAGAAGGAGAAAGUAAAAACCCAUUUCCUUGGCAAGUCCAACUCAUGUAUAUUCAAGGAGUUCUUCUGGUCAAUCUUGCUUAAGGUUUUAACCAAGUUGUACCCGGAGAGUAGCGUCCUAAACCACCACGAAGGGCAAAUCCCUGCUUUGAAACUAUCUGUACUCGCUGUUAUCUUUGCAUGGCUGAAGAGCUAAGUUGAAGGGGAAAAGUGAACUGGUUGGAUCGUGCACAGGCAGCCGUUUCUGGAGAGCAAUGCUCCCAAGGAGAUGCAGGGACUGCAGCAGCUUCAGGGUGCUGUGCAGGCAACAAAUGGGACACCUGCCAGUUCUCAAACUGGAUGAGAGCAAAGCUAUAGGUAUACAGCCUCUGACUUCCACAGCUGCUGGGGAAGUCUGCAUUACAUCAGUAACAUUAUAGCUCUCCUAUGGCUGUUCAUCCCGGGCAGUAUUGCAGCCCCGAUUUUAAUUGUAUCGGAAGUAAACUCAGCAGAAAAGCCUCUUUGUCCUGAGUGAUGGACAACUGUUUACUUCCAAUUUUAUGCAAGGCCACACAUGCAUCACAAGAUGAAAAAGACACCCACCCCGCACCAACCAGUCUUUUCUCAUGGUGUUUCUGGAGGAUGUGAGCAAGAAUUGUAAAGCACUACAGAAAGAACUGUCACAAAAUCCAAAAUCCCAGUCCCAAUUAAACAGUCUCGGGACCUAGGAAUUAGCCAUUUUCAUGUCUGUUUAUCCUUGCACCCAUUUGACUUAAAUGGAUAACAUAGCAGGGAUUUUUUUUAAAUGUAUUUUUAUGUGUAAAUAAAAGGCAGGAUUAUUAAUUCCUAGCACAGCUUGUCCCAGAAACAAUUACGGACUCUGUAGUAUCUUGCAAUCUUGGCAGCUGUACUGUCAUCUUAUAUGGGAAUAUAGAUGCAUGUUUGUCUUGAGAGCUCCCAAAUCCCGGCAUUCUCCUUAGGAAAGAAUAGGACAGGAAAUUUCUGGGUUACUGGGCUCUUUGGCGCAGCUGUCUCUUUUGCUUUCACACGUAGUUCUACAGCAAGAUGAGAGCCAUCUUAAGUAAUGGAAACAGAGUCUCAUUCAGCAAUGAUUCUUUUCUCUUUUGUCUGAUCUAAAAUGGUCUGAGUGUUAGGAAAAGUAACAAGCACUGAACUUUUCCCCACAUACACAGCUCACACAGUGGAAUCAAACAGAGCUGAGAUAAGAAUAUUUUUCUUUUCUCUAAGAAAAAAGUGGUUGAAUUCAGAUUCCAUCGAAUUAAGUUUACUGUUGGAGACAUAAGACCAAGAUCCACUAAAAUUUUGCUGAUUUCCGUCAUUUUUUUUCACAUGUUCUCAAAGUUAAAUGUACAUUUUAGAUCUUGCUUGGAUCAGAUUUUGUGCUAGGGUGAGUCGACUUGUGACAGAAGAUACACGCAAACACCUAGGUCUCAGCUCUCAUGCCUAAAACUGUUAGGUAUCGAGCGCCAAUGACACAGGCUUUUUUAAAUUCUUAAAUACUUUGUCAUAUCCUGCAGCCCUUAAUCAGUUCCAGGAGAGUUUUCCUUGUACGGUAACGGAACUUAAUCCAUUAUUCCUCUUUCACUCUCCUUUUAUUCUAUUUGACCCACCUUGCUAUGGUAAAUCUAAAAUUAUUAACUUAGUUUGCCUUACCACAUUCGUAUUAAGCCAAAAGUAACUGGUGAUCCAUGAGGAAGAGCGAGGGAUAAGGAAAGAUAUGACACAUCGCAGGUACCAUAGUGGAAUGAAACCUUCAUCCCUUCAAGUCCUUUUUCUGGCUCUGGAAAGGUUUGUUUCCUUAAAUCAAAUUCUCCUUCAGCCCUAUUUUGUGCUUUAUAUCCAAAAAAUGUAAGUAGGAAAGGGCCUACAACAAGAGGCAGAAAAUCACGUCUACUGAGUAGUUUGCAUAUACAGUUUCUGAGUAACAGGUUUUGUCCUUUUUUUUUUUUUUUUUUUAACAUAACCUGAGAAACAAUAUUAGCUUGCUAGAAAGGAUAAAGAAUACGUACAGAAGAGGGAAUGAGAGAAAGAUACAACCAAAGCGCUAAAGAUGUAACAAGACUACAAGCAUGGAUUUUCUUGAUGGGCUACAAAGCUUGAAUCUCCCUCCCAGGUUUAUUCCAGUGUGAGACGACACAGAAGAAUUAGGAAUUCAAAGUGCAUACAUUUGCACAAAGCUUAAAGGAAAGCACAAUAAAUAUUAAAAUAUUGAUGGUAAUCAUACGUUUCCCAUCAGUUCUAAGGCUCUCAGUAGAAAAUAAGGAAACAAACAAAUAAAGCUUCUAAUCUUUUAGUGCCUUACAUUCAAUUCCCUCAAACCAGAUACUGAUUGCAAGGGAGAAAACAUCACCAUCCCUCUAUUUGCAGUUGUCCCUACGGGAGCUGCAUCUUAUUCCCACUGAAUUCUGCAGUGCAGCUCCAGCUGUUGCCAGUGCAGCCUGAGCUGAAAGCACACGGGCCAUUCAGCGCUCCGUUAUCUGAUUCGCCCAUGGAUUACUAGCAGCGUGAUUUGCCUGUACCAUAAUCUGUUCACACAUCCUGACAAGGAAAUGCGCAGCUCAGAAGGCAUACAAUAUAAACCACUGCCAGAAACCAACUGUGCUUAUUUUAGGCCUCAAACAGCAUUAAACAAUUCCAGCAGAAAUAGCCAACUGUUGGACGGCAAUAAGAUAUUAUCUCAAUGUAGAAUAUUUCAGAGCAACACAACCAGCUUAAAACUGCAUGCAUUUUAACUGAUGACACUGACCACAGCACACAAGCCCCAGACAUACAACUGAGGAGAAACAAGCCAAAAGACCUGGGGAGAAAGCUCCUUGGAGUCCUCUACAUGUGAUAGAAACAAGCACUGUAGAAAUCCUCUGAUAAUCCCCUUUUUGGGCUGUGUUCGCAGUGCUAUCUACUUCACUUCCUAUGAUACUGAAUGUUAUGCAGUCCUUUGAGGUCCACCACUAGCCAUAAAUCCCAGGCAGGAAACAGUUCUCAUGCCUAGGAGGAAAGACGGCGUUUUAUUUUCUAAAGACAGCUCAGCGUAACCAGGUCAAACCAAGUUUGGAAUUGAAGCUCUUGAAAUCCAGGAUAUAAUUGAGUAUGUUUUUCUGUUUGUUUUGUUACCGGUUAACCGGAUGCAACAAAUAAAACCAUUUUCCUUUCUUAUUUUCUCUCUCUGGCUGUCUCUUUGGGAGCUCCUUUUUGGGAGCCAACCUCUCCAUAAGCCAGUGCUUGAGGUCAUAGCUCCCUAACUUUUAGACAUCUGCUAGGUCAGAUGGACUUGAAGAGAAUCAGCUGCUUGCAGCGAGCACAUUUUUAGCACGCUGGAGUCGCUGACAAAUGUUGAAGAUAUCUAUUGCUUCUUCUGCUCGCUAAAAAAUACAUACAACACCCCAUUUAAAAUUCCUUGAUUUGAUCAGAGCUCUAUUUCCAAAGCUGAUGCAGAGCAUUAGAUUAAGGGUUCAUACCCUCAAAUGUCUAAAUUGUAAUCUACAGUAACGGUAGAAACAAGUACAAAACAAAAAUACUACCUUCACUUUUGGCAUUACAUACUGAAUUUGGUCCAUACUGCAUUACUUUUAAUUUUUUGAAAAAUCAUAAAAGUGCAGUUUAAAAAAUAAAAUAAUAAUUUAGUGUUGAACGCCUGAAAAAUGGAUUGAUAAGAAAACAAAACUCCAUGAUCACUGAAACAUAACAUCCAAAUCCAGAGCUUCUCCAAAGUGCUAGUUGCUUAUAAAGCACUUAGUAGCUUCUUACAUUCAUUAUUUAAAAUGGUUCAGUUGUUUCAGUGGCAUACAUAAGAACAAGGCAAAUAAUGCCUCAUCUCUCCAAGAACAAAAACACGUAUACAGAUGAAGAAAAACACAUGUAAUAAGAAAUUAUUUUGUCUUUUUAUGCCACCAAAGGCUUGUCCUAGAUCUCCUUCAAGCCACCUUUUACAUAGCAUAAAUGAAAUGUUAUUCUAAAAUAGCAGCAAAAGCGCAGUCAGUUUUUACAGUAAGGAAAAAAAUCUGCCUGGAAAAAAAUACACCAGGCUUGAUUCAAAACUUGCUCACUCGCUGGAGUGCCAGGUUGGCAGCUGUUGAAAGUGCAAUGGGAUUGAAAGGUUUCCACAUUGCCGCUAAGCUCUAGCGCAGCGUGUUAGAUAUUCAUCCUCGCUUGGCAAAGAGCAGCAGCCCCAAGCGUACUAAUUUCUGUCAAGCUUUCAAAACUCUUAUUCAGGUGCCUAAAAAAGUGGAAGGUACGAAUAACUUGGUAACAUACCCCUCAAUGAGAACCUAGAAGACAGUCACAAUUGCAGAGGAUUGCAGCAAAUGUCCUUCCUUACACUUCAGCUCUUCUGUUGCGUGUAAGAGGGGAAUGCUGGCAGCAAGAUUCACAGCCACUAUCAAUCCACCAAGACGCAUCUAUCCAUCUAUAGAUAUUUAGACAACCUAAGGAUGAGUCCUCAGAGAUCUUCACCCAGUCUAGUGUCAUGUAAAGAAAUAGGAAAAAUCAUCACACAUUAAAAAUUCUUUUAAACCUUGCUCAUUUUAUCUUGUCCUCCAGUACACUUUAAAGUUUGUGUGCAGACUAAGAACUACUUCCAGUUACGCCCCUCUUCAAUUCAAGUCUGCUGAGACAAAGAACAUGAAGGAGGCAAAGUACACUCAGCAACUGAUGAGGUCUCUCUGCAAGGCUACAAGUCUUCCUCUAUGCUUCUGCAAAAAAUAAAAUCUUAAGAA